AUUUCCGAAUGGGGAAACCCAGUGUGAUUCGUCACACUAUCAUUAACUGAAUCCAUAGGUUAAUGAGGCGAACCGGGGGAACUGAAACAUCUAAGUACCCCGAGGAAAAGAAAUCAACCGAGAUUCCCCCAGUAGCGGCGAGCGAACGGGGAGGAGCCCAGAGCCUGAAUCAGCAUGUGUGUUAGUGGAAGCGUCUGGAAAGGCGCGCGAUACAGGGUGACAGCCCCGUACACAAAAGCGCAUGUGCUGUGAGCUCGAUGAGUAGGGCGGGACACGUGGUAUCCUGUCUGAAUAUGGGGGGACCAUCCUCCAAGGCUAAAUACUCCUGACUGACCGAUAGUGAACCAGUACCGUGAGGGAAAGGCGAAAAGAACCCCGGCGAGGGGAGUGAAAAAGAACCUGAAACCGUGUACGUACAAGCAGUGGGAGCACAGGUUUACCUGUGUGACUGCGUACCUUUUGUAUAAUGGGUCAGCGACUUAUAUUCUGUAGCAAGGUUAACCGAAUAGGGGAGCCGGAGGGAAACCGAGUCUUAAUUGGGCGUUAAGUUGCAGGGUAUAGACCCGAAACCCGGUGAUCUAGCCAUGGGCAGGUUGAAGGUUGGGUAACACUAACUGGAGGACCGAACCGACUAAUGUUGAAAAAUUAGCGGAUGACCUGUGGCUGGGGGUGAAAGGCCAAUCAAACCGGGAGAUAGCUGGUUCUCCCCGAAAGCUAUUUAGGUAGCGCCUCGUGAAUUCAUCUCCGGGGGUAGAGCACUGUUUCGGCUAGGGGGCCAUCCCGGCUUACCAACCCGAUGCAAACUGCGAAUACCGGAGAAUGUUAUCACGGGAGACACACGGCGGGUGCUAACGUCCGUCGUGAAGAGGGAAACAACCCAGACCGCCAGCUAAGGUCCCAAAGUCAUGGUUAAGUGGGAAACGAUGUGGGAAGGCCCAGACAGCCAGGAUGUUGGCUUAGAAGCAGCCAUCAUUUAAAGAAAGCGUAAUAGCUCACUGGUCGAGUCGGCCUGCGCGGAAGAUGUAACGGGGCUAAACCAUGCACCGAAGCUGCGGCAGCGAACGUAUCACUUAAAGCGAUUCAGCGGGUUACGAUUGACGGAGCGAAGCGACGUCAAAGCGUAUACAAAGUCGAGUCGGUUUAAGGAUACGUUCGUUGGGUAGGGGAGCGUUCUGUAAGCCUGUGAAGGUGGCCUGUGAGGGUUGCUGGAGGUAUCAGAAGUGCGAAUGCUGACAUAAGUAACGAUAAAGCGGGUGAAAAGCCCGCUCGCCGGAAGACCAAGGGUUCCUGUCCAACGUUAAUCGGGGCAGGGUGAGUCGACCCCUAAGGCGAGGCCGAAAGGCGUAGUCGAUGGGAAACGGGUUAAUAUUCCCGUACUUGGUGUUACUGCGAAGGGGGGACGGAGAAG
rnacentral:rRNA from 1 species